UUAAGCGACUAAGCGUACACGGUGGAUGCCCUGGCAGUCAGAGGCGAUGAAGGACGUGCUAAUCUGCGAUAAGCGUCGGUGAGGUGAUAUGAACCGUUAUAACCGGCGAUUUCCGAAUGGGGAAACCCAGUGUGUUUCGACACACUAUCAUUAACUGAAUCCAUAGGUUAAUGAGGCGAACCGGGGGAACUGAAACAUCUAAGUACCCCGAGGAAAAGAAAUCAACCGAGAUUCCCCCAGUAGCGGCGAGCGAACGGGGAGNNNNNNNNNNNNNNNNNNNNNNNNNNNNNNNNNNNNNNNNNNNNNNNNNNNNNNNNNNNNNNNNNNNNNNNNNNNNNNNNUUUAUGGGGUGACUGCGUACCUUUUGUAUAAUGGGUCAGCGACUUAUAUUCUGUAGCAAGGUUAACCGAAUAGGGGAGCCGAAGGGAAACCGAGUCUUAACUGGGCGUUAAGUUGCAGGGUAUAGACCCGAAACCCGGUGAUCUAGCCAUGGGCAGGUUGAAGGUUGGGUAACACUAACUGGAGGACCGAACCGACUAAUGUUGAAAAAUUAGCGGAUGACUUGUGGCUGGGGGUGAAAGGCCAAUCAAACCGGGAGAUAGCUGGUUCUCCCCGAAAGCUAUUUAGGUAGCGCCUCGUGAAUUCAUCUCCGGGGGUAGAGCACUGUUUCGGCAAGGGGGUCAUCCCGACUUACCAACCCGAUGCAAACUGCGAAUACCGGAGAAUGUUAUCACGGGAGACACACGGCGGGUGCUAACGUCCGUCGUGAAGAGGGAAACAACCCAGACCGCCAGCUAAGGUCCCAAAGUCAUGGUUAAGUGGGAAACGAUGUGGGAAGGCCCAGACAGCCAGGAUGUUGGCUUAGAAGCAGCCAUCAUUUAAAGAAAGCGUAAUAGCUCACUGGUCGAGUCGGCCUGCGCGGAAGAUGUAACGGGGCUAAACCAUGCACCGAAGCUGCGGCAGCGACACUGUGUGUUGUUGGGUAGGGGAGCGUUCUGUAAGCCUGUGAAGGUGUGCUGUGAGGCAUGCUGGAGGUAUCAGAAGUGCGAAUGCUGACAUAAGUAACGAUAAAGCGGGUGAAAAGCCCGCUCGCCGGAAGACCAAGGGUUCCUGUCCAACGUUAAUCGGGGCAGGGUGAGUCGACCCCUAAGGCGAGGCCGAAAGGCGUAGUCGAUGGGAAACAGGUUAAUAUUCCUGUACUUGGUGUUACUGCGAAGGGGGGACGGAGAAGGCUAUGUUGGCCGGGCGACGGUUGUCCCGGUUUAAGCGUGUAGGCUGGUUUUCCAGGCAAAUCCGGAAAAUCAAGGCUGAGGCGUGAUGACGAGGCACUACGGUGCUGAAGCAACAAAUGCCCUGCUUCCAGGAAAAGCCUCUAAGCAUCAGGUAACAUUAAAUCGUACCCCAAACCGACACAGGUGGUCAGGUAGAGAAUACCAAGGCGCUUGAGAGAACUCGGGUGAAGGAACUAGGCAAAAUGGUGCCGUAACUUCGGGAGAAGGCACGCUGAUAUGUAGGUGAAGNUGGAGCUGAAAUCAGUCGAAGAUACCAGCUGGCUGCAACUGUUUAUUAAAAACACAGCACUGUGCAAACACGAAAGUGGACGUAUACGGUGUGACGCCUGCCCGGUGCCGGAAGGUUAAUUGAUGGGGUUAGCGGUAACGCGAAGCUCUUGAUCGAAGCCCCGGUAAACGGCGGCCGUAACUAUAACGGUCCUAAGGUAGCGAAAUUCCUUGUCGGGUAAGUUCCGACCUGCACGAAUGGCGUAAUGAUGGCCAGGCUGUCUCCACCCGAGACUCAGUGAAAUUGAACUCGCUGUGAAGAUGCAGUGUACCCGCGGCAAGACGGAAAGACCCCGUGAACCUUUACUAUAGCUUGACACUGAACAUUGAGCCUUGAUGUGUAGGAUAGGUGGGAGGCUUUGAAGUGUGGACGCCAGUCUGCAUGGAGCCGGCCUUGAAAUACCACCCUUUAAUGUUUGAUGUUCUAACGUUGGCCCCUGANCGGGGUUGCGGACAGUGUCUGGUGGGUAGUUUGACUGGGGCGGUCUCCUCCUAAAGAGUAACGGAGGAGCACGAAGGUUGGCUAAUCCUGGUCGGACAUCAGGAGGUUAGUGCAAUGGCAUAAGCCAGCUUGACUGCGAGCGUGACGGCGCGAGCAGGUGCGAAAGCAGGUCAUAGUGAUCCGGUGGUUCUGAAUGGAAGGGCCAUCGCUCAACGGAUAAAAGGUACUCCGGGGAUAACAGGCUGAUACCGCCCAAGAGUUCAUAUCGACGGCGGUGUUUGGCACCUCGAUGUCGGCUCAUCACAUCCUGGGGCUGAAGUAGGUCCCAAGGGUAUGGCUGUUCGCCAUUUAAAGUGGUACGCGAGCUGGGUUUAGAACGUCGUGAGACAGUUCGGUCCCUAUCUGCCGUGGGCGCUGGAGAACUGAGGGGGGCUGCUCCUAGUACGAGAGGACCGGAGUGGACGCAUCACUGGUGUUCGGGUUGUCAUGCCAAUGGCACUGCCCGGUAGCUAAAUGCGGAAGAGAUAAGUGCUGAAAGCAUCUAAGCACGAAACUUGCCCCGAGAUGAGUUCUCCCUGACUCCUUGAGAGUCCUGAAGGAACGUUGAAGACGACGACGUUGAUAGGCCGGGUGUGUAAGCGCAGCGAUGCGUUGAGCUAACCGGUACUAAUGAACCGUGAGGCUUAACCUU
rnacentral:rRNA from 1 species